GACGAACGCUGGCGGCGUGCUUAACACAUGCAAGUCGAGCGGUAAGGCCCUUUCGGGGGUACACGAGCGGCGAACGGGUGAGUAACACGUGGGUGACCUGCCCUUAGCUCUGGGAUAAGCCUGGGAAACUGGGUCUAAUACCGGAUAUGACUCCAUGACGCAUGUUGUGGGGUGAAAGCCUUGUGCGGCUAGGGAUGGGCCCGCGGCCUAUCAGCUUGUUGGUGGGGUGAUGGCCACCAAGGCGACGACGGGUAGCCGGCCUGAGAGGGCGACCGGCCACACUGGGACUGAGACACGGCCCAGACUCCUACGGGAGGCAGCAGUGGGGAAUCUUGCGCAAUGGGCGAAAGCCUGACGCAGCGACGCCGCGUGAGGGAU
rnacentral:rRNA from 1 species